CCCUGCGACCCUCCAGAACCAGCAGCCCAAUGUAAGGGGCCACGUUAAGUAUCAGAGAGGGAGAAAGGAUCGUUUUCAUUACUCACUCUCUCUCAGAUAUCAAGGACCAGAUACUUAAGUAUGUUAUCUCAUUCAGUUAUCAUGAAGCCCCUGUGAAGUGAGUUUCUGUUGCACCUUUCUUUAGGACGGUCAGAUGGGUCUCUGCUAGACAUCAAACACUGUGACAGAGGCUCAUACAAAAACUACUCCCUUGAACUCCCUGUGGCCCCCUCCCCAGCCCCGACCUGCCACUGUGAUUCAGAAAAUCGGAACCACUGACUCCGGCGGGCAUUUGCUGGGCAGAUUGUCCACACCCCUGCCUGCCCUUCUCAGGCUGAGAUGAGACAGUCAGCCCCACACACGCAAUGACGGGACAUCUGGAAAUGCAGAAGCCCAAGGAAGUUCGUGUCAGGAUCAGGUUUUCCCUUUGACUGUGGCCCAGGAAUGGGAAUAGGCUCCUGGGAGGGCGUUUGCUUCCCUAAGGAGGGAAGUGGCAUGGAAAGGGAUAGGGAUUCUCUACACUACAGGGUGGUUGUAACCCUGAUCUCUUGGUGUGACCACAAAGUAAGAGCAGGGAGGCAUCCUCAGGUGUCCCCAAUGCCCCAGAGAAGGAGCAGCUUGUCCCAGAGUCUCAGCAGCCAUGGGAAGGUCCAAUCUGACCACAACACAGCUCCAGGGUUCCCCUUCCAUCCUCCCUGGUGUUGUCUUAGUUUGGGAUGGGUCUCGCCAGGUGUUAGUAAGAAAGUCCAGCCUCAACCUCCAGGGAGAAGUUGGAAGCAAACUCCUGUCGCCCUCUCCAGGUCUCGUGUCCAUUUUGGGUGUGUCUGGGGUGUCUGACCCAAAAGGGCUAUGCGAGUAGCAGCCCAAGUGUGAUCUCUAAAUGCCGCUUCUCACUUCAAGGAACCAGUCCACUCGGGGUUAAUGGGCAAAUUCAGGCAUGAAGCAGGAGAAAGAUGGCCCAGAAUGAGGACAGAGGCCAUUCCUCUUAAUGUCUCCUCUCUCCAAAGAAAAGGAAUCACGUAUCCACCUGGUCACUUACCCCAUGCUUGCUCAGCCUAUCACGACCCUGUCACGUGGACGCCUUACGAUGGUAAGCCCUUAAAAGGGCCAGGAACUCUUUCUUCAGGGAGCUCGCUUCUGUUCUUGAGACGCAGCAAGUCCAUCGACGCUCCUGGCCAAAUGAAGUCUUUGGAAAGCUCAGUUCUGUUCUUGAGACACAAGUCUGCCGACCUCCUGGCUGAAUAAAGCCUCUUCCUUCUUUAA